ensembl:lncRNA
CCUCCCUCUGUAUCACCACGUCGUUGAGGAGGACCUCCCUCUAACACCACAUCACUGAGGAGGACCUCCCUCUGUAUCACCACAUCACUGAGGAGGACCUCCCUCUAACACCACAUCACUGAGGAGGACCUCCCUCUAACACCACAUCACUGAGGAGGACCUCCCUCUGUAUCACCACGUCAUUGAGGAGGAGCUCAGUAACUAACUUUUACAUGAGUUGAUUGCAUAAUAGUGGUACAUCUAAAAUGGCACCCUAUUCCCUAUAUUGUACACUACUUUAGACCAGAGCCCUAUGACACCCUAUUCCCUAUAUUGUACACUACUUUAGACCAGAGCCCUGUGGGUUCUGAAGUUUCAAAGUAGUGCACUAUAUAGGGAAUGGGAUUCCAUUUGAGACGCAACGCUAUGACUACUAGGACCACCUGACUGACUGCUGGUAGAAUCUACACACUAGGUUUGACCUCCUUUCUCCACUAUGGGGCACUCUACAGUAGGACUAAAUCUUUGUCGAAUGCUGCACAUGGUUAAUACACAGAUGAGGUUUUAAUACACUGAUGAGGUUUUAAUACACGGAUGAGGUGAGGAUACACUGAUGAGGUUUUAAUACACUGAUGAGGUGAGGAUACACGGGUGAGGUGAGGAUACACUGAUGAGGUUUUAAUACACUGAUGAGGUGAGGAUACACGGGUGAGGUGAGGAUACACUGAUGAGGUUUUAAUACACUGAUGAGGUGAGGAUACACGGGUGAGGUGAGGAUACACGGGUGAGGUGAGGAUACACUGAUGAGGUUUUAAUACACUGAUGAGGUAAUGAUACACGGAUGAGGUUUUAAUACACGGAUGAGGUGAGGAUACACUGAUGAGGUUUUAAUACACGGAUGAGGUGAGGAUACACAGAUGAGGUUUUAUUGGUUAAAGUUUGUCUAUUUCCUCUCCAACGAUGACAUGGUUUUUGUUGUUUAAUUAUGUCUCGUCUCGGAAACCUGCUUUUCCUGGUACUUUUCAAAUGAACAGAUAACAUCUUGUGAUGAUUUUUAAGUUUUCAUGUUUGUAAUAACAGUCUUUAGCGUGGACACGGCCAAAUCAUUCAGUUGAUUUCAUUAAAUUAGUCUUAUGUUUUGUGAGUUUAACCUUGCAGACAUGACAAGUGUCAUCGUGUGUUUGGCUGGGAGCCGUUAUGAUUUAGCUGCUGUUCAUGUGGUUGAAUCUGUGAUUGCUUAGUUUAUAGUUUAUAACAAUGACAUUUAUUUGUUGAAUCACGUCGAGUUAAUUUGAUGUUUCAUCAGUGUACAUUUUAUUAUUCAAAAGCAUAUGGACAGCGGUGUUUCUUCCACAUUUUUGUUAAAUAAAUACUUUUGUUUGGUUUUUUUUUAAACUUAAAUACUGUGACUUGACUUCAGGUACCCAGAAUGAUCAAUAACAACAGUACAAAUGGAAUAACCAACUGUAGCUUUGGUAGUUUCACAGGUCCUUUUAAAGUGCUGUUAGCAUUGACUUACUCUUCAAGUAAGAUGUACAUCAAUCAUCGAUCAUGUUUUUUCAAUCACCUCACUGUGAGGACUUCUUUCUAUUUAAAUCUGAACCUGUAGUGCUGACAUCUUUGUCCUGGGGAAUAUGGUAGUCCUGUGUGAGACUUUAACAACACUGACCAUCCAGUCUGUCAAUACAAUCAUCACAGUCUGUAGCCUAACGUGUAAAAGUCCCAGCCUCGGUCUUACACAGUAGCUGAAGGUUUAUUUCUGUUUUUACUAAAGAAAAACACUGACACAUAUAUUUACUGUUCUGUGUUUUUUAAAUGCUGUUUGACUGUUCAUGAUUCCAUGUCAACACUAGACACCAGAAACAAUAAAGUGUUUUUUUGAUUCCUUUCUCAGACUCUUCCUGUCAUUUCAUUUGGGGGGGGGGGGUAGUUUCACAUUCUACUGUUGUUGUGUACAUCUGUUGUUGAGAGAAACGCGGAGUGUCAAUCUCUUCGUCUGAUUAACUCAUCUCUAAUGUCUCCCAUUUAUGAAAUGGAUGGUUGUAAAAAAUACAAAUGUAAAAAAUGUUUUGUAAAAGGCAGGAGACUGUUUGUCAUGGCAACAGCAAGUAUUCCAAGUCAUGAGUCUCUUUGAGGAUAAAUGAGAGAACUUAGAGGCGAAAGGAAAAAGAACCCUGGACACACUCUCCCUAGCUCUACAACUUCCUGUAUACCAACUGUGGUAUAACUGACUACAGGAUUGGGC